CCUAUCAACUUUCGAUGACAAUUUCUGCGCCUACCAUGGUGACCACGGGUAACGGGGAAUCAGGGUUCGAUUCCA